rnacentral:rRNA from 1 species
UUMCAUGCAAGUCGAACGGCAGCACGGACUUCGGUCUGGUGGCGAGUGGCGAACGGGUGAGUAAUGUAUCGGAACGUACCAUUCAGUGGGGGAUAACGUAGCGAAAGUUACGCUAAUACCGCAUAUUCUCUCCGGAGGAAAGCAGGGGACCGCAAGGCCUUGCGCUGAUUGAGCGGCCGAUAUCAGAUUAGCUAGUUGGUGGGGUAACGGCUCACCAAGGCGACGAUCUGUAGCGGGUCUGAGAGGAUGAUCCGCCACACUGGAACUGAGACACGGUCCAGACUCCUACGGGAGGCAGCAGUGGGGAAUUUUGGACAAUGGGCGCAAGCCUGAUCCAGCCAUGCCGCGUGAGUGAAGAAGGCCUUCGGGUUGUAAAGCUCUUUCGGCCGGGAAAACUCGCAUGGGCUAAUACCCUGUGUGGAUGAUGGUACCGGAAUAAGAAGCACCGGCUAACUACGUGCCAGCAGCCGCGGUAAUACGUAGGGUGCGAGCGUUAAUCGGAAUUACUGGGCGUAAAGCGUGCGCAGGCGGUUUUGUAAGACAGGCGUGAAAUCCCCGGGCUCAACCUGGGAGCUGCGCUUGUGACUGCAAGGCUAGAGUAUGGCAGAGGGGGGUGGAAUUCCACGUGUAGCAGUGAAAUGCGUAGAGAUGUGGAGGAACACCGAUGGCGAAGGGCAGCCCCCUGGGCCAAUACUGACGCUCAUGCACGAAAGCGUGGGUAGCAAACAGGAUUAGAUACCCUGGUAGUCCACGCCCUAAACGAUGUCAACUAGGUGUUGGGUGGGUAAAACCAUUUAGUACCGGAGCUAACGCGUGAAGUUGACCGCCUGGGGAGUACGGCCGCAAGGUUAAAACUCAAAGGAAUUGACGGGGACCCGCACAAGCGGUGAUGAUGUGGAUUAAUUCGAUGCAACGCG